GUAAAGAAAAAAUUACAUUUUCUCAAACUGAGCCACUGCAUGCAGAUAGCAGAUAUCAACAUAAAUGUGGAAACAAGUACACUCCCUGAACACAAGUGCCCUAGAGAGGGUGCACUUUAGUUAAGUUCCAUUACUUACCACAGCAAUUUCAAUAUUUAACCACCAGGGGACUUCUGAACAUUGCUCGGUUUUAGAAGUUUGCAAUUUUAAUAUUAGUAUGUGACAGAGACGAAGAAACACAAUAGGAUGUUAGGCUAUCCCCAGUUACAUUUUCACUUCUCUGACAAGUCCAGUAAGAAAGGCUAGAAGUAACCAGACCCGAGGAGAUGACAGAAGCACCUGACAAACACUACGCAAACUUCCUGGCAUAACCUGCCCGUGUCCCUCAGCCCCAGCUGACAGCUGUCCUUGCCAUUCCGGGCCCGAACUCUCUGUACGCAGUCCUGCUGCUGCACCCAAACCCUGACAUCCAGACCUUCCCUCUCGUGGUACAGAUGGCAUCCGAGGCCGGUUCUUUCAUCCCCUUAAGAGGACUUGGAGAAAAGUGCUGGCAACUCCUUCCCGCUCCCCACACCUCUCCCAUGUGGCAGGAGAGGAUUACAGGCAGCUAUCUGACCUGUCCAACGCGAGUGGAAGGGCAUGUGAAGUGAAAGCAAGACUACCCCGCAGCAGUCCAGUUGACGAUGCUGGCAGUGCUCAGCUCCCUGGAUCCACAACGCAAUCCAGCUGCACUCCCCAGCGCCUACAUGUGAUGGUGGCUCGGUUCUCAUCAGAAACAGCAUUGGAGAUGAGACUGCAGAAUAGCGAUGCUCCCAUUUCCUGACCUAUAACUUAUCUGUGCAACCUCUAAGUUCACAUUUCUCUGUCGCCCUCCAAGGGAACAAGGAUUCCCGCUCGCUCCGCCUGAUCUUUUCCACGCUGCUGAAGUUAAUGUGACAGGAGCCCGAAGAUGGAUUACCCGCUGCCAUAUUGCCCAUCACCUCCAAUCAGCAGCUAUCUGGACACAUCAUCAAGAUGCUGUGCCAAUAUGCAUGAAGCCAGCUAGGAGCUGCAAGAAAGACAACGGGAGAGUAACUGGAUACCAGAAAAGGUUUAAUUUUUCCCUUUGCAGAUUAUGAAUUGCUCGGGACAGGAUCUGUGGCUUCCCUGUCUACUGUCUGCUGAAAAGGCACAGGCUUGUUCCUUGGCCCUAACAAUGCAAUUACAGCCCUGCAGAUCGCACUGUUUGUGCAUUAAGUACAGAGCCAAAACGAGGCGAAUUGAUCGUUUGACUUUUGGAGGAGCCAUGUGAUCUCGGCGUGCGGGUGAUCCGGCAUGCAUCAGUGGGCAAUGCUGCAGUACACGCCUGCUGAUGAACUCGCCUCAUGCCAUUUCCCCUCCCCGUCUGCUCCCGACAGCAAAGACGUUGGAGCCUACCAUUAAUCCGGAUCUGGCUACAAAAACAAGCUCCUUUUUGUCACCUCUUCUGCUGGGCUAAACUCAGGGCCGGUUUCGCCUUCUGAAAUGCGACGCUUGGCAACACCAGUGGCAUCCUUGCGGCGGGCUAUGGUACGAAAUGAUUAUUCCAGCAUUUCACAUCCCAAGCUUUAGCACAGAAUUGGACUUAUUUUUCAAACAGCUUUGUCAAUUCUUGCUUUGAAAAAUACAGAAGACAUGCCUAGGUAAGGUCAUGAUGAUGGUAGUGGUUGCCCUACGAUCUGAGGGUGCUGCUGCUGCAGGUGACUACUUGAGAAGUGAUGCUCCUCUUUGCCUUUGCCAGUCUACCACUAAAUCCAUCAAGGAUUUGGAUUCCAAACUGUUUUAUAUUCCCAUCACAAUAGCUCCCUAAAAAUCUGUGAGCACAUUUUAUUUCAUACUCUUAUCCUGGUGAACACUCCCUACAAGCUUGAUGUGGCAGGACCAGAAUGAAGACCCCAUGAGUGUAACUCUUUAGGCAGACUAUCGCUCACCAAAACAGCAAACAUUUGGGGUGGAAGCACACAGCAUGUGACAAUACACACAAUGAACGUGCAGGGCAAUUCUGAUUAAGGAUGCCAGGUGUUUCCUAAUUUGAAAGUUUUAUAUUACAUCUUCACUACCUGUAUACGUGGAGGAUUAUAGGAUAACUCGGUUUAGAUGGGACCUCAGGAGUGGAGUUCAACCUCCUCCUCAAAGCAAGGUCUGUUAUGAGGUCAGAUCAAGUACCUUAGGGCUUCAAAACCUCCAGGGAUGGAAGAAGCUGCAAAGCAUCCACAGGCAACCUGUUCCAGAUGAUGCUCAUCAUCAUGAAAAAGUUUUUGUGACCAGUCAAACAUGAGAGGGAGUUUCUAAGACCUGUAUGGGAGCCCUUUCAAGAUUUCCUGAACUCAGCUUCACAGCUAAUGCCAUUUGCUUUCUUGAGAUUCCAAACCCAAGCCUCCAAAAACUAAAAAACAUCUCCAUCAAGUUGACCGCAAUUUGGAAAUAAUUCUUCAUAUCAAGAUUUUUCAUAUCACAUGCCCAUCCUUACUGCAGAGCUCUGAGAACUGAUCUCUGGAAUGCACUUAGAGACCCUCAGCUAUAAAGCAAUUUAUGAGAAGUAAGUAUUAUAGUAAUAUUUCUUCAAAGUCUCUCUUUCAUUUAAAAAAAAAAAAACACACACAAGUGUAAUUCUUUUUUAAUUUGUGGCUUCAUUGACACACAAAAUCAUUUCGGGUGGGAAGAGAUGCAGAAAUGACAAGCAUAGUGUUUGCAUAACUGAAGACUAAAGAAGCCUGUUUACAUGUAGUUUAACACUCAAAAGAAACUCUGAACAGCUGAAAUGCCUUAUAAAUAGCUCAGACCCAGAGGAAGUGCAAACGUCUGCAUUGUGAAUUGUAGAUCUUAAUUACAGACAAUGGCUGGUACAGCAAGUAGCACGGAAAAAAAAAAAGUGAAACAGUUGCACUGUUCAUGGUUGGCAAUAAUUCUUCAGGAAAAUAUUUACUAUCAAUCAGUUAUGAGAAAAGGGACUCUGCGCUCAUAAAACAGCACGUUGCUUCUCAUACCAGGACCAUUUUGCUUCAGCAUAAUCUGAAUUUAAACAGCUUGUUUCCUGCGGAUAUAAUUUUGGAAAUAAAUAAAACAAGUCUAUCAAAA